CAGUUGUAUGAAAGGAGAGAAGGCUAGCCCUUUGCUUGAGAAGGAUGCAAUAGGUCCUAAUGUAGCCUAGGUACCAGUCUGUUU
rnacentral:ncRNA from 13 species